GAUGAACGCUGGCGGCGUGCCUAAUACAUGCAAGUCGAGCGAACGGACGAGAAGCUUGCUUCUCUGAUGUUAGUGGCGGACGGGUGAGUAACACGUGGAUAACCUACCUAUAAGACUGGGAUAACUUCGGGAAACCGGAGCUAAUACCGGCUGAUAUUUUGAACCGCAUGGUUCAAAAGUGAAAGACGGUCUUGCUGUCACUUAUAGAUGGAUCCGCGCUGCAUUAGCUAGUUGGUAAGGUAACGGCUUACCAAGGCAACGAUGCAUAGCCGACCUGAGAGGGUGAUCGGCCACACUGGAACUGAGACACGGUCCAGACUCCUACGGGAGGCAGCAGUAGGGAAUCUUCCGCAAUGGGCGAAAGCCUGACGGAGCAACGCCGCGUGAGUGAUGAAGGUCUUCGGAUCGUAAAACUCUGUUAUUAGGGAAGAACAUAUGUGUAAGUAACUGUGCACAUCUUGACGGUACCUAAUCAGAAAGCCACGGCUAACUACGUG
rnacentral:rRNA from 1 species